UCAAGCUACAAAGAGCACAAGGGGAAUGCCUUGGCACCGAGAGCCGAAGAAGGACGUGACUAACUGCGAUAAGCUGCGGGGAGCCGUAAGUAGGCUUUGAUCCGCAGAUUUCCGAAUGGAGCAAUCCGGCAAGAGGAAAGUCUUGUCAUCAUAUACUGAAUACAUAGGUAUAUGAGGGGAACCGCCUGAACUGAAACAUCUAAGUAGGGCGAGGAAGAGAAAUCAACUGAGAUUCCGUAAGUAGUGGCGAGCGAACGCGGAAGAGGCCAAACCGAGAGUAGUAAUACUUUCGGGGUUCGGACAGAAUACGGUAUUGUAAAGGUUUAGUGGAAUGGAAUGGGAAGUCCAACCGAAGAAGGUGAGAGUCCUGUACACGAAAAGCCUGAACAGCCAUCUGUAUCCAGAGUACCGCCGGACACGUGAAACCCGGUGGGAAUAUGGGGGGACCAUCCUCCAAGCCUAAAUACUACUCGGUGACCGAUAGUGAAGAAGUACUGUGAAGGAAAGGUGAAAAGUACCCCUGACGGGGAGUGAAAAAGAACCUGAAACCUUGUGUUUACAAGCACCGAAAGCUCAUCAAAGAGCGAUCGGGUACCUUUUGUAGAAUGGUCCGGCGAGUGAAUGUAACCGGCGAGGUUAAGCACUUAAGGUGUGAAGCCGCAGCGAGAGCAAGUCUGAAUAGGGCGUAUGAAGUCGGUUGUAUUCGACCCGAAACCGGGUGACCUACCCAUGGUCAGGUUGAAGUAAAGGUAAAACUUUAUGGAGGACCGAACCGACUCCCGUUGAAAUGGUAGCGGAUGAACUGUGGGUAGCGGAGAAAUUCCAAUCGAACCCGGAGAUAGCUGGUUCUCCCCGAAAUAGUUUUAGGACUAGCCUCAAGUUAGAUACCUGGAGGUAAAGCACUGAAUAGCCUAGCGGCCGAGAGGUUAGCGAAGCUUAUCAAACUCAGAAUGCCAGAGUAUUGAUGCUUGGGAGUCAGACAGUGUCAGAUAAAUGUCAUUGUCAAAAGGGAAACAGCCCAGAUCUACAGCUAAGGUCCCAAAGUCAGGUUAAGUGGAAAACGAUGUGAAGAUACGCAGACAACCAGGAUGUUGGCUCAGAAGCAGCCACUCAUUCAAAGAGUGCGUAAUAGCUCACUGGUCGAGCGUCUUUGCGCGGAGAAUUUAACGGGGCUAAACCUGACACCGAAGCUUAGGCAAUCCAGUAAUGGAUUGGGUAGGGGAGCGUUGUAUACGCGGAGAAACAGUAGCGUGAGCGGCUGUGGAGUGUAUAGAAGUGAGAAUGCCGGAAUGAGUAGCGCGAAUGCAGUGAGAAUCUGCAUGGCCGAAAGCCUCAGGUUUUUGGAGGAAGGUUCGUCCGCUCCAAGUUAGUCGGGAGCUAAGGUGAGGCCGGAAGGCGUAGCCGAUGCACAGACGGUAGAGAUUCCGUCACCACCAAAAGAGUUAAGCACAGGGACACAUUUGAAGUCUCAGAGCCGGGUGUUGGUUCCGGUAGAGAUCGAGGGAAGUUAGUACCGAAGUCUGGGAUGGAAGAUGGCGAGAAAAGCUGUGUGUAUUUCUGAGGUGCCCGUACCGCAAACCGACACAGGUAGGUAGGAAGAAGAUUCUAAGGCCAACGGGAGAAGGGUUGUUAAGGAACUCGGCAAAUUGACCCCGUAACUUCGGGAGAAGGGGUGCUCCAGAGAUGGAGCCGCAGAGAAUCGGCCCAAGCAACUGUUUACCAAAAACACAGGUUUGUGCUAAAUCGAAAGAUGACGUAUACGAGCUGACGCCUGCCCGGUGCUGGAAGGUUAAGAGGAGAUGUGCAAGCAUUGAAUCGAAGCCCCAGUGAACGGCGGCCGUAACUAUAACGGUCCUAAGGUAGCGAAAUUCCUUGUCAGGUAAG
rnacentral:rRNA from 1 species